GGGGAUGACUUGGCUUCGACGGGGAUCUUGUUCUAAGGAAAAGCGAGUCGUAGUUCGCGAAACUACGUUAAAAAAGAGCACCUAAAUUUAAAUGCAGACAACAAUAGAAGUUUUGCACUAGCUGCUUAGUUUAAUUGCGGCGAAUCUCACUCUCUAUCUCUCGUACGAGUUUUGAGAUCUUAAUUAUGACGAGUUGAAUUAAUAUGCAUUGCUUUUGGCAUAUUAAUUUAUUAUAAAAGCUAUAUUCUUAAAUAUUUUGUGGAUUUAUAUUGAGAAAAGAACUUUUAAAAUUCUCUGCACUCGGAGAAGUUCUUUAGAAGGGGUUUUCGGACAUGGGUUCGACUCCCAUCAUCUCCACCA
rnacentral:tmRNA from 1 species